rnacentral:misc_RNA from 1 species
AGAGAGAUCAAGAGGACAAAAGCCAUGGGUGGGGACUUCCCAUCUAAGCCAAUGUCCUUGAUAGCUACAAUAUGGGAUGGUUCUAAUUGGGCUACAAAUGGUGGAAAAUACAAAGUCAAUUACAAAUACGCCCCGUAUAUCGCUGAGUUCUCCGAUUUCAUCCUCCACGGAUGCGCGGUUGAUCCAAUCGAACUGUCAUCCAAAUGUGACAACACUACGCCAAAAACUCCAACGAUCCCUACCGAUAUCACCCUUGACCAAAGACGAAAGAUGGAGAACUUCAGAAAGAAGCAAAUGCAAUAUUCAUACUGCUAUGACAAGACCAGGUACAAGGUCCCUCCUCCCGAGUGCGUGAUCGACCCUAAGGAAGCCGAACGACUCCGAGCCUUUGACCCCGUUACAUUUGGAGGAUCCCACCACCAUCAUGGGAGACGACAUCACCGGAGCAGACCAAAGUUGAAGGGUGAUGAUGAUGUAUCCUUUAUGUAAAAGAAAAAAGACCCAAUCCCAUAAGUUUUUCUCUAUAUAGUCACAUGAUGAUAUGAUCAUUUGAGGUUUUGUUAUUUUCACAUGUGAAUAGAGGAUAUAUUGUUGGGGUAUGUAUAUAUGUCAUACCUAUAUAGGGGUCCCAAGCCAUGUUCUAGUUGAUGUAUUUUGUUGUUUGGGCCUUUAAUUUAUAAAUUCAACUUGUUGGUGAUUUUGUGUACUUUUUUUGUGA